AACCCUUGUCCUUAGUUACCAGCACGUUAUGGUGGGCGACUCUAAGGAGACUGCCGGUGACAAACCGGAGGAAGGUGGGGAUGACGUCAAGUCAUCAUGGCCCUUACGGCCUGGGCUACACACGUGCUACAAUGGCCGGUACAAAGGGUUGCGAAGCCGUGAGGUGGAGCGAAUCUCAAAAAGCCGGCCUCAGUUCGGAUUGGAGGCUGCAACUCGCCUCCAUGAAGUCGGAAUCGCUAGUAACCGCAGAUCAGCUACGUUGCGGUGAAUACGUUCCCGGGCCUU
rnacentral:rRNA from 1 species